UUUGUCUUGACAUAUGCUUUGGAUUCUUCAGUUACAGCUAGCAUACAGUUACUUAACGCGGUGCAUGCAAUUAACGUAUAAUCACUCAUCGCUUUUCCAUUGGUGAAUAAUAAUUGAGAACUAGGAUAAGUACUGAUGUGUUUACUUACACCUGACGCUCAUGGAUUAAUCUUGUCCUUCAUCCGCAUAUCGGCGACGAAAGUAAAAAAAAGUGUCACUCUGCUGUUGCGUUAAAAAAUCUCCCACUGUGUUUUAUUUUUUUUUUUAUUAAUAAUACUAGCCAAAAUAUGUCCUUGAUAUUUUCUUUCAUAUGUGCUUUUCUGCACACUUUUUCCUAAGUGCAGAGAAUUCACAGGUAAUUUCAAUGAAGCCUGUUGGUUGGAUUUCAUUGAAAUAAAAAAAACAAUUGAAGACGUGCAACGUUGCAAUCGGAAACACGCAUUUUUACUUCAGCCAUCAUUAUUUUAUUCACAUUUGGGCAAGAAUUUUGCCUACAAUUUUUCAACAAGAUGAUUGGUCCACUCUUAAUAAAACUGUCCUUGCCCUCUUGCGUCAACCAUGGCUCUUCAAAGUGAAACCUAUCUCCAUUCAAUUGGGCGGUGAUGAAAUUACCAAUCUAGAUCUAAAAUAUUAACUUACCCUUAGCUUAUAAGCCUAUUUCCUAAAAAUAAUAAUUUUAUCGCUAGGUGUCAGAUUGAAAUCUCAUAAUCACUGAAACUCAUAUGGGAAUAUUUUUUACGUAAUGAGUUGAAAUACAAUUUGCCUGAUCUUCAUUUUGAAAUGCAUCAGUUUUAGAUACAACUAACGUUUGCGAGUAAAAAUGAAAGUUACCAUGUUUUUGAAAAUGAAACUACUCGACAAUUUUCAUGAAAUAUUUUGGGACGCCACAUUCUGGUUACCUCCUAACACAACUUGGAAAGACUUUGAAAAAAUCAACGGUCGCGGACGGAUUUCGACUGUGAAUGAUCUGAUCUUCGCAUGGAAGCUUGUUCCUCUCUUACUGAUCUUCAAAUAUACGUUUGAAAAAUAUGUGGGUGCAAAGUUGGCAAACUGGGCUGAACUGGAGGAGAAACUGCGAGAAAAACCUCCAACUGUAAUUCUCUUAAAAGAGCUUAUCGUGAGAGUCGAGGUCGCGAAUGGAGGGAGCGGGAUGUUUUAGCUUUUUCAAAACAGCUCGACUGGUCUACACAGGAGGUGAGACAGUGGUUCAGAGCAAAGCAAAGAUUUGAAAACACGCCAAUCACGGACAAAAUCGGCGAGAGUUCGUAAGUAUCGGAUUCUGUUCUUCUGCCGAAGUUUUUGAAAAGUAUAAAAAAAUGAUAAAAUACAAUCAAUCCUAAUUUGAUUGUCAAGUUCAUAUGGUUUUAUACGAUGAAGUUUGCAUAGAUACCCUGUAGUAAUAGAGGAAGUUAUUUCAAAUUUUGCUUCAAAGCUUAUUUUUUAAGAGGAACACGUAUACGGACGUUUUCUGAUUGAAG
rnacentral:lncRNA from 1 species